rnacentral:lncRNA from 1 species
GAAAAUUAUAAGCAACAUAUAAGAUAUAACACCAUCGAGCCGGCAAGGUACAACCCUCUCCUGUACACUGUACAUGCUAAACAAAAAUAGGUGUAUGGAAAGUAAAAUUGUGUCAAAUAUAUUAAGUUUAUUGUAUGGUUUGAUCUAAUCUAAUCAACACAUAUAUCCUCCAACUGCAUAUUGUGCCGGGCAAAAAUUAUGUAAACUACUGAAUCUACAAAAACCAUCUAGAAAUAGCAGCAACAUAUUGUGUCCAAUAAUUGCAUUCAGCCAGUACAAACAAUAUAAGUGCCACAUAACUAGGUAAGACAAUCAUCUCCAAUAGAUACAGGACAAUUAUUUUCAGUAGUGUGUGUACUACUGUAGCAAGGGGUACUCCCACCAGCCAGAAUGUUCACACAAGUAAGCUCUUCAGCCAACAUUUAGGCCUGCAUUAUUUGUUGUGGUGGAUAUGUUGGGCUGCUAUCAGAAGGGUGGUGGUGGUGGUGGUGAGCCGCCUGGGCCCGGGGGUCCGAAGAAUGGGGCGCAGCAGUCUUGGAGCAGGCAGCAACAACAGAGGAGGUAGAACUGCACAAGAAGUAUUCGUCCUGAGUUUCAGAGAAUAUAAACAAUCUGUUUCAAACAGGGAAAAAAAUUCAAAGGAAGAAAUAUAAACGAUCGACUAAUGUAUGCUUCGCCACUUAUAUAUUGCAAUUUGAUUGAGUUGACCACUAAACCACUAACCAUCUAACUGAAUGAAUUGCUUUCUCUUUUCUUUUGGAGAUGUUGAUGUUGAUAAUACUAAUUUGAUGAUUUCGCUGGCAAAAAUGCACAGUUUAAAUUUCUGUUAGUAGCUGAGGAUUCAACUUACCAGGACCCGAAGAAGCCACCAAACCAAGGCCCCCAAGAACCAGGGCCAGGGCCUCCCCAACCUGGUCCUCCAGGCCCACGAGGACCCAUUCCACCAACACAGAAACAACUGGUUAAUACAGACUACAGCUUCACAAGAACUCAGCCAGGACACAAUACAAGAGUUGAUGCCCCAAUUGGAGAUGAAGAAGAAUUUAUAGAUGUAGGGUGAGAAUAAGUAG